UCUCCUACGGGAGGCAGCAGUGGGGAAUCUUNUACANGNGGCGGAANCNUGAUNCANCAAUCACGGGUGUGUGAAGAAGUCCUGAGGGUUGUAAAGCACUUUCAAUGGGGAGGAGUGGUAAAUGUUUAAGAGCUGGUUAGCAGGACGUUACCCACAGAAGCAGCACCGGCUAACUCCUUGCCAGCAGCCGCGGUAAUAUAGAGGGUGCAAGCGUUAAUUUGAAUUACUGGGCGUAAAGGGUGCGUAGGUGGUUGUAUAAAUUAACUGUGAAAUCUCCGGGCUCUACCCGUCCAAAUCACUUAAGACUGUAUGAUUCGAGUGUGGGAGAGGGUAGUGGAAUUUUCCGUGUAGCGGGGAAAAACUUAGAGAUAUGAAGGAACACCAGUGGGGAAGGCGGGUNCCUGGCCUAAUACUGACACUGAGGCACGAAAGCGUGGGGAGCAAACACGAUUAGAUAUCCCGGUAGUUCCCNACUAAACGAUGUCAACUANUUGUUGGCNUUAUGAAUGAGGUCAGUGGCGCAGCAAA
rnacentral:rRNA from 1 species